rnacentral:rRNA from 1 species
AGGGAAACCGAGUCUUAACUGGGCGUUAAGUUGCAGGGUAUAGACCCGAAACCCGGUGAUCUAGCCAUGGGCAGGUUGAAGGUUGGGUAACACUAACUGGAGGACCGAACCGACUAAUGUUGAAAAAUUAGCGGAUGACUUGUGGCUGGGGGUGAAAGGCCAAUCAAACCGGGAGAUAGCUGGUUCUCCCCGAAAGCUAUUUAGGUAGCGCCUCGUGAACUCAUCUUCGGGGGUAGAGCACUGUUUCGGCUAGGGGGUCAUCCCGACUUACCAACCCGAUGCAAACUACGAAUACCGAAGAAUGUUAUCACGGGAGACACACGGCGGGGGCUAACGUCCGUCGUGAAGAGGGAAACAACCCAGACCGCCAGCUAAGGUCCCAAAGUCAUGGUUAAGUGGGAAACGAUGUGGGAAGGCACAGACAGCCAGGAUGUUGGCUUAGAAGCAGCCAUCAUUUAAAGAAAGCGUAAUAGCUCACUGGUCGAGUCGGCCUGCGCGGAAGAUGUAACGGGGCUAAACCAUGCACCGAAGC